rnacentral:misc_RNA from 1 species
GCAGAAUCGCCUCGCGGCAGCUGCAAACCCGUCGGACGAUACCACACGUUGCCUCGGCGCGCCCGCGCGCCGGAGGCCCCCAACCAACCCUCCUGCCCGUGACCCCCUCUGACUAGUUUUGUUAGCGAUAAUA